GGAGCCCUACGGGAGGCAGCAGUGGGGAAUAUUGGGCAAUGGGCGCAAGCCUGACCCAGCAACGCCGCGUGAAGGAAGAAGGCCCUCGGGUUGUAAACUUCUUUUAACAGGGACGAAGAAAGUGACGGUACCUGUUGAAUAAGCCACGGCUAACUACGUGCCAGCAGCCGCGGUAAUACGUAGGUGGCAAGCGUUAUCCGGAUUUACUGGGUGUAAAGGGCGUGUAGGCGGGAGAGCAAGUCAGACGUGAAAUUCCAGGGCUCAACCCCGGAACUGCUUUGGAAACUGUGCAGCUAGAGUGCGGG
rnacentral:rRNA from 1 species